rnacentral:rRNA from 1 species
CACGUAGGGGGCAAGCGUUGUCCGGAUUUAUUGGGCGUAAAGAGCUCGUAGGCGGUUCGGUAAGUCGGGUGUGAAACCUCCAGGCUCAACCUGGAGACGCCACCCGAUACUGCUGUGACUAGAGUCCGGUAGGGGAGCGUGGAAUUCCUGGUGUAGCGGUGAAAUGCGCAGAUAUCAGGAGGAACACCAGCGGCGAAGGGCGGCGCUCUGGGCCGGAACUGACGCUGAGGAGCGAAAGCGUGGGGAGCAAACAGG